AUGGAGAAGUGCAUCGGCUUGCCUUGUGCAAAUGUUUUUUUAUUGAUAACAACAUUGGCAUAUACUGAUCAAAACAGGAAGAUACAAAAAAAAGCCUAUAGUGCAAUUAAACGAUGAACAUACAAACAUACUGCCUUGAACGUAGCAGUCAGGCUACUGCUUCUUUGUUUUGAGCCAAAGAAAAAAACAUGAAUUUCCGUUAAUCGUGCGAUAAAAAAAUUAACACCAUUAAAAUUGUUUUGCGUUAACGCCGGUAAUUACGCGUUUAACUGACAGCCCUAGUUAUUAUUAAUGUAUAAUAACAUUCAUAAUAUUCCGGAGGCGCACAGAGCUUUUGGCCGUGAUAUUAUAUAUUAUAUUGUAAUGUUCGGCAGUGUAUAGGCCAUGGUUUAUUCAACCAUCAAACUAUAUUCAAUUCCGAACGGUAGGAAUUAGGGGUGCAACGGAUCACAAAACUCACGGUUCGGAUCGUGUCACGGUUUUUGAGUCACGGGUCGGAUCAUUUUCGGAUCAACAACAACAAUAAACAAGACAAAUGUGACUUUAAAUAAAAUCUUCAAAUGUGUAAAAACAAAAUAAAGUGAAACAUUUGGUAAUAAUCCUGCUUCCUUUAAAGAUCCCAUGCCACACCCAUUUCAUUCCUUUUUUUAUAAUCGUUGAUGUCCUUUGAUCGAGUUUGUAACCUUGUUUGUGUUGGAAAUGCCUAGGAUAGCUUAUUUCAAGCUAUUCUAGAAUGACCGAAAAGCCUGGUAGAGAAGACGACUGGUUUUCUCAUGAAUAUCUAUGUAUUAAUGAGCUUUGCUCUGAUUGGACGUCUGUUUUCAUGGAUAUUCAAUAUUUAAAUUUCGCUUUGCUCUGAUCGGACGACAAAGCAGCUGUCCAUCUGCUUACCGAGGCACAGCAAGCCUAAAACGAUGUCAGGAAUUUUGCCCUACGUGUUUGAUCCAGAGUCGGAAGAUGAGACUGAAGGAGAAGACCAAGAACAACCACAAACACGUACAAUGACGGACGUUUCAGAAUGGUGUACCUGUGGGAAUUGCUCUACAAUGCAGAAAGAGGAGGAGAAUGUAUGCUGCAGGGAGACAACAUCGGUAAGACGGUGCACCGUGCAACGAUGGGUGAUAUGGAUUUCAUUUUGGUUAUACACUGUCAGUAAAAUCAGAUUAUAUUAAUCAAACAUAUCUGAUUGCACAGGUUGUAAGAAUAAUGGAAGACGAGGAUCCACCAUUAUUAUGCAUGACCCUCCACCCAGGACUAGAUCCAGUUUGUCUCAAUAGAUAUUCCCAGCAAAAUGCCCUGAACAUUUAUCAACGUGAUUAUGGGAACUUGCAAGUUAGAGGCAAUGACCGUUGCAGGUACUUGGCCGACAGGUCGUUUGUCAGCUGGUGCUGGGGAUAUCUUGGCAGGAAGAUACGUGUUGUCAUCCCCUCUUGUUUGGUCCAACACGUACGCGGGGAGUUCCCUGAUGCGGAAGGCCAAUAUGUUGGAUUUAAACCUCCUCCACUCUAAAGCGAGAUACAUGGGCCGCAAUAGCGUCUUUUAAGGGUGGACGUUCGUGUUGGGACGAUAGGGAACUGGGCACAGGAAUCUGCUGACUUUCCUCCAAGUAGGGCAGGGGGUUAGGGACUACCUCUUCAAAGGGGAGAUGCAUCAGGCUGAGGGUAUAGCCUAAAAGAAAUACAAUGUAGGUAAACUCUACAUGUAACAAUGUACAAAGUGUUUUAUACAUCAAUAAAUAUUUUCUUACAACUUACAGUAUGUUGGUUGUGUUUUUACUGCUUUCACCGUAGCCGCUCCUUUUUUUGCUUUUGGGAAACUGAGUUUGUACCUCAGUCUUCCUGAGUUUGUCUUCGCUUGGCAACGGCCAGCAUUCUCAUUAAAAGGCAUGGCUGCCAGGUACAGUCUGAAGGAGAAAAUAGGGUGUGGUAAUAAAACUGUCAUAGGAGAACACUGGUUGCAUUAUCAAACAACAACUACAUAGUCACCACAGCAAAGAUAUCUACACAUAUCUUUAGGUUUGUAUUGUUCUAGUGUAAGAAAAAUAUAUUUUUUGGUGUAAAACGCAAAAUAACACUGUGGAAGGCUUCCAGUGUUGAGGUCUGGUACUUUGAGCUCAGCUUUUCCACGUCAGUCAGGACCCUCUUGCUGGUAAGGAUUUUUUCCACUUUAUAGAGGGCUU